rnacentral:rRNA from 2 species
GAGGGUGAUGCCUGCCCAAUGGUUGUAUCUAAAAGCGGUUGAUAAAAGUCGACCUCGUAAGGACAAUUGAAUGGCCGCGGUAACACUGACCGUGAUAAUGUAGCGUAAUCAAUAGCCAAUUAAUUGUUGGCCAGUAUGAAUGGCGCCACGAAGGCCCCACUGUCUUAAGGAAAUUCCCAGUGAAAUUGAAUUCGUAGUGAAGAUGCUACGUCCAAUUUGUUAGACGAAAAGACCCCGUUGAGCUUUACUGGGGCACUUACACGGCCCCGGCCUUCCCGUGUCCGGGAACCGGCCGAAUUUAAAUGGGUGGUUUAGACUAUGUGGCAGCCCCCCGCCGGGGCAGAUGAAACCCCACUCCCCCAUGUCAAAGGGGCUAACCCCCCCCUUGGGGGGGACAGUGUAAGUAGGACAGUUUGGUUGGGGCGACCGCCUUUUAAAGAGUAACGAAGGUGCGCUUAAGGUGCGCAAUUAAUGACUGAAGCCUGACUGCGAGGGGGACACCCCGAGCAGACACCCCUAAGCCCGCCCGAAGGGCGGCGGUGGGGUGG